ACAGGGCUUCGCCAAGCAGAGCGGCUUCGGCCUUCGGCUAUCCACAGAUGGCGUCCUUCGCUAGAGCCGCCCGUCUCCUGACGCUGCUGCAGGUCGCGCUGCUCGUCGUCUCCGCGGUGCUGAUGAGCGGCUCCGCCGUCUGCCACGGAGCCCGGAACGCCGGAUUAGGCAUCCGCCACCCAGGGACAGGAUGGCCCAGUGGUGGUAGGCGUCGUCCUGGUGGUUCGCGACCCACGGCGCCUCCACCAGCACCAAGCGGAGAGACCCCUCAGCCCUGAUGGCUGCCUACUGCCUUCGUCACAUUCCCAGCUCCGAGCUGCACAGCUCCAGUACUGCGAAAAUAUAAAACAGAAAAAAAAAAAAGCAACCCAUGUACUUGCGUUUGGUGUGAAUAAACCUGGUGAUGCCAGUGCAAAUGGCCGACGGCACCGCUGCUAGGCGCCGUGACAUUGAUGUAAAACGUAUCAUACCUUUCAGUUCAGAAUAAAGAUCGGCAGCAGGGUAAUAACAGGUCAA